ACGCGAAGGACAGUGCAGCUUGUUAUGCCAUUAACUGCGUCGGACAAAAGUCUUUCGUUCAAUUGAUGUGUUCUAAUCUUGCAGGAGUUGGAUGUUUGUGCAGGAAUACUGAUAUCUUUAGAGCAUCCCUCAGCUGGUUUAAGUGUUCUCUGUUCUGUGAGAGUGAAGGACUUUAUAUGCAUGGCGAUUAUGAACUAUAUGAUCCAAAUAAAGCAUGUAGUGGAAUUGGCGCCCCCAUAGGAACAAUGUAUGCUUGGAUCGGAAUAGCAAAAGAAAUGUAUAUAACAUCAUAUUUAGGCCCUAUUGAGAUUUAUUUUCUUGUAUUGCAAUGUACAAGUUGUCAGUAUAAUAGAUGUAAUCUUGGAUCUUGUUCGAGUAAGAAGUAUGCUGUUUGC